rnacentral:piRNA from 1 species
UCAUGAGGUCAGGAGUUCAAGACCAGCCA